GACGAACGCUGGCGGCGUGCUUAACACAUGCAAGUCGAACGGAAAGGCCCUGCUUUUGUGGGGUGCUCGAGUGGCGAACGGGUGAGUAACACGUGAGUAACCUGCCCUUGACUUUGGGAUAACUUCAGGAAACUGGGGCUAAUACCGGAUAGGAGCUCCUGCUGCAUGGUGGGGGUUGGAAAGUUUCGGCGGUUGGGGAUGGACUCGCGGCUUAUCAGCUUGUUGGUGGGGUAGUGGCUUACCAAGGCUUUGACGGGUAGCCGGCCUGAGAGGGUGACCGGCCACAUUGGGCCUGAGGUACGGCCCAGACUCCUACGUGAGGCAGCAGUGGGGAAUAUUGCACAAUGGGCGGAAGCCUGAUGCAGCAACGCCGCGUGCGGGAUGACGGCCUUCGGGUUGUAAACCGCUUUCGCCUGUGACGAAGCGUGAGUGACGGUAAUGGGUAAAGAAGCACCGGCUAACUACGUG
rnacentral:rRNA from 1 species